rnacentral:rRNA from 1 species
CCUACGGGAGGCUGCAGUGGGGAAUAUUGGACAAUGGGCGAAAGCCUGAUCCAGCCAUGCCGCGUGUGUGAAGAAGGCCUUCGGGUUGUAAAGCACUUUCAGUGGGGAAGAAAGCCUUGGGGCUAAUACCCUCGAGGAAGGACAUCACCCACAGAAGAAGCACCGGCUAACUCCGUGCCAGCAGCCGCGGGAAUACGGAGGGUGCGAGCGUUAAUCGGAAUUACUGGGCGUAAAGCGCGCGUAGGCGGUCUGAUAAGCCGGUUGUGAAAGCCCCGGGCUCAACCUGGGAACGGCAUCCGGAACUGUCAGGCUAGAGUGCAGGAGAGGAAGGUAGAAUUCCCGGUGUAGCGGUGAAAUGCGUAGAGAUCGGGAGGAAUACCAGUGGCGAAGGCGGCCUUCUGGACUGACACUGACGCUGAGGUGCGAAAGCGUGGGUAGCAAACAGGAUUAGAUACCCCGGUAGUC